rnacentral:rRNA from 1 species
UCGGGAAUUUUGGGCAAUGGGCGAAAGCCUGACCCAGCAACGCCGCGUGAAGGAUGAAGUAUUUCGGUAUGUAAACUUCGUAAGAAUAGGAAGAAUAAAUGACGGUACUAUUUGUAAGGUCCGGCUAACUCUGUGCCAGCAGCCGCGGUAAUACAGGGGGUGCGAGCGUUAAUCGGAAUUACUGGGCGUAAAGGGCGCGUAGGCGGUCGAGUAAGUCGGAUGUGAAAUCCCCGGGCUUAACCUGGGAAUUGCAUUCGAUACUGCUUGGCUAGAGUGUGGAAGAGGGAAGCGGAAUUUCCGGUGUAGCGGUGAAAUGCGUAGAUAUCGGAAGGAACACCAGUGGCGAAGGCGGCUUCCCGGUCCAACACUGACGCUGAGGCGCGAAAGCGUGGGGAGCAAACAGGAUUAGAUACCCCGGUAGUCCCUGAGCGGGCUGGCAAGGCGCAU